rnacentral:rRNA from 1 species
AGCAGCCGCGGUAAUUCCAGCUCCAAUAGCGUAUAUUAAAGUUGUUGCAGUUAAAAAGCUCGUAGUUGAAUUUCGGGGUUCUACCGUUGGUCGGGCUUUGUCUGUACUGGCGUGUAGAAUUUCUACCUUCUGGGGAACCAUCAUGUUAUUAAUUUAACGUGGUGGGAAACCAGGACCUUUACCUUGAAAAAAUUAGAGUGUUUAAAGCAGGCUCGCGCUUGAAUACAUUAGCAUGGAAUAAUGAAAUAGGACGUUCGAUCCUAUUUUGUUGGUUUCUAGGAUUGACGUAAUGAUUAAUAGGGAUAGUUGGGGGCAUUAGUAUUCAAUUGUCAGAGGUGAAAUUCUUGGAUUUAU